rnacentral:lncRNA from 1 species
CACAGUCCCUUCUCGCUGGGACUCUCCAUUGCCUGGUGGCUUGUGUGUGUGCCGAGAGCAGCAAGGCGAGAUGACAAAUAAGCGUGUUUACAAAGGGCAAACUGAACUUGAAGUUUUGGGAGUGUUUUCCCAUCAAGCUCAUGAACCUCCUACAAAACUGUUUGAGCUAACUCACUUUUGAUAUUUUGUUCUAGUUCUUUUCCUUGGGAAGUGAAGAAGAGACAGCUUUUGCAGCUAUUCUUCCUAAACAAACAGAGAGAAAAGCCUGUGACCCUAAGCCUGUUGAGUUUCAAGGGCACCGAGUGAAAGGAUCAGCGAGCAGCGCCGUGAUGAUCAGAGGACAGAUUCCAGGGGGGGCCGCAUGUGAGAACUGCACGCCUGACAUUUGUUUUUUGGCACCAGAGCGGCCUAGCACUUGUAUGCAGGCUGACUUCUUGCAGUUCACAGAUGAAGAAAACUUUCCAGAAGGAGGUACGAGCUUUAAUAUUGAAGACCAUUUUCAAGUAAUCACUGAGUCUAAUAAGGACUCAACUGAAAAGGAUUUAACAAUUUUAGAUUUUCCUCUGAAAGAUCCACGACAUUCACACCACCAUUUGGAUUACAAUUUCAAGUCGGCAGAGCAGACUUCAUGGGAAGC